GUGGGGAAUAUUGGGCAAUGGGCGAAAGCCUGACCCAGCAACGCCGCGUGAAGGAAGAAGGCCCUCGGGUUGUAAACUUCUUUUAAGAGGGACGAAAGAAAUGACGGUACCUCUUGAAUAAGCCACGGCUAACUACGUGCCAGCAGCCGCGGUAAUACGUAGGUGGCGAGCGUUAUCCGGAUUUACUGGGUGUAAAGGGCGUGUAGGCGGGGCUACAAGUCAGAUGUGAAAAUUAUGGGCUCAACCCAUAACCUGCAUUUGAAACUGUAGUUCUUGAGUGAUGGAGAGGCAGGCGGAAUUCCGUGUGUAGCGGUGAAAUGCGUAGAUAUACGGAGGAACACCAGUGGCGAAGGCGGCCUGCUGGACAUUAACUGACGCUGAGGCGCGAAAGCGUGGGGAGCAAACAGGAUUAGAAACCCUUGUAGUCC
rnacentral:rRNA from 1 species